GUGGCGAACGGGUGAGUAACACGUGGGUAACCUGCCCAUCAGAGGGGGAUAACAUUCGGAAACGGAUGCUAAAACCGCAUAGGUUCUUGAGCUGCAUGGCUUGGGAAGGAAAAGAGGCGCAAGCUUCUGCUGAUGGAUGGACCCGCGGUGCAUUAGCUAGUUGGUGAGGUAACGGCUCACCAAGGCCGUGAUGCAUAGCCGACCUGAGAGGGUGAUCGGCCACAUUGGGACUGAGACACGGCCCAAACUCC
rnacentral:rRNA from 1 species